GGCUUUUUUCCCUCUCCAGAGCCAGACAGACACCACAAAACCGAUCAGGCGUGAUGGGAAGUCGCCACCUACGCGGACACAAAGUCAGCAGCUGGGGAAUUUCAAUAAUUAUAGAAACAUUUGACUCUGCGCAACUAAGUGUGGCAGCAAACUUCAAUUCUUGAACACAGUUCGACACCAAGACGCUGGUUGCUCCAUCAGUUUGUCCAAUCAAAGAUGGCUCAUGUGUGGAGAGAGAGGUGGAGGCGGAGCGCCGGCGUGCCUGUCACAGGCUGGAGGCGUUUGUUUUGAUUCUCUGUAUCCAAUGAAAAAGCUUCUCUGUUGUCCUCCAGCCAAUGAGCUGAAAUUAGCUCCAACUCGCUUCCUGUCGGCUUUUCCGCCUUUUCCCUUUCUUCCCAGUAAAUCGUUGUGCAGCUACACAUUUUACAUGUUUUAACCCAUCUUCCAACCCGUCAUCUGACGGGUUCACGCCCCUAUCAAGGCCACGUCACACAACGUGGGAAAGCUUCAGCUCUGCGUUUGCUCCUGGAGGACGUCCUGUUUUCACGUCAUGGCCACCAAAUACUAUCUGCAUCACUUCAGCUUCAUGUUCAGCCGUCCUCCAAAGCAGCAGUUUGUUCAUGGGACUGUUUUUGUGUUGUUUGUUAUUGUAUGUUUGUUUUUCUCUUGCGAUUUUUAUACUAUUAAGAAACUUAACUAAAUAAUAUUUAUUUAUUUACGUACCUAUUUUUAUGGGGUGACAUUAUCUGGUGCUCAAUAUUUAAUUUGCAUUAAAAUGAAGACAAUGGAGAGUUUGGACUAAGGACUAAAGUAUUUUUUUUUUUACAUAAUAAAUUUCACAGAAUUACUUUUAAACAAUAAAAAAAAACCUAACAGGCAUCACCAACAAAAACGAGAUUUUUUAUUUUCCAAUUUAUAUGUUAAACAACCAGUAGAAGGCUGCAAACAGAUUAGACAUUCUUUAUUUCUAUGAUGAUGCUGAUUAUUAUUAUUAUUAUUAUUAUUAUUAUUAUUGUUUUUCUUCUUAUUAUUAACAUUAAAAUAAGGUUUCCCGAAAAUAACUGGUAAUAUGUGAUGCAACGUAUAGUGGUAGCAUAUUUACAUGUUACUGCAAUAAAAACAAAUUUGAUCAUAGAUAAAUAAGGCACAUUUAAAUGGGUAUGGAAGACAAAGGACAGUUUAGGAACGCAUGUUCAUAUUUAAUACAAUACCACUGUAGCUUCAAACCCUUAAAUUACAGCAGUUAUAUAUAUAUAUAUGGCGUGUAGUGUACAGUGUACACACGCUCGUUGGCGCACACACGCUUUGUGACAGAUAUUUGUGACAGUGUAGUCUGCCUAAUGCGCACAUAACGAAUAGAUUAAAUGUUGUUUACACAGAAAAUUAAAACCCACCUUUAAUUAAACUGUUAAUUGAAUGUAGCCUAAUACAACUAGUGAGUAUACGUCAAAGUGUAAGUAUAGUAGUGAAACGGGGGGGGGGGAAUCACGCGAUUCUGUGUCCAGCAGUGUAAAUAUCAAGAUUUUUUACUCGUUUUUCUCAAAUCUCCGUCGGAAAUCCACGGAUUUUUUUUUUUUUUUUUAAUAAACGAGAAAAAUAACAAUAAUCAAUCGUGUUAAAUAUGUCUUGUCUUCACAAACCUAAAGCAGAAGGAGGUGGCGAGGCGGUUGUUUAAUAAAGUACACACGGUUCGUUUAGGUAGGCUUUCUUCUUUCUUUGGCACAACGGAACGUAUUCUUUACGUGUUUUUCAUAUGGUGUACGAGAAUUACAUUUACAGGUUCAUGUGGGCGCUGUAUUUACAUUAAUGCCUUUGGUUAAUUGUAUGAAGCCUAUUUCUUCUAUGCGGGAAAAUGCAUAAGACGAGUAUGUGAAAAUAUAUUUUUAAUAUAAAUUUUAUUUUAAUCUCCAAUGUUGUUUUGGGACUCAUGCCUUCAUAUCUUCGGUCCAGGUAAUUAAAAGAUUUUAUCUUGCUGUCAUGACCUCAGGUCCGUCCAGAAUUUGGAGAGAAAAAAAUUAUUGAAAUAUUCUGCGCCUCACGCCUGGAUCUCUUUGCAGAAUGAUUUGAAAAUUAUACGUGAUCUCUUUUAACAUUUUAGAGGACUUCUCAAUGACUUAGUUGGAGACCAUGCAAGUAGCCUAAUUGUUGUAUUUUUUCCUGUAUAAACCUGCAGUCCUGGCUUUCUUACGCAGAACACUUUUGUAAAACGAAAUUUUAAUCUCUGGAUUUGUUUUCCUGAUUAAAAACUGUUAAAUAAAAACAAUCUAUGCUGUACUUAUUAUGUAAAAAUAAAAAAUAUUGCAACAUUUA